rnacentral:tRNA from 1 species
ACCUGGCUGGCUCAGUCAGUAGAGCAUGUGACCCUUGAUCUCAGGGUCAUGAGUUCAAGCCCCAUGCUGGGCA